CGACAACUUGAUAAUUUUAUAAAACAAAACACUUCUAUCUCCAACUUUUACAAUCACUGAUAAAUUGAUAAUAAUUUAAACCAGUCUAGCUGUAGUUUAAAUAGAGAAUAAUACAUGGGUGCACGAAAUACCAGAUUUAUUUCGAGUGUUGAACAUGAGUGCGCAGCGAACAAGUGAGCGCAGCGAACGAGUGAGAUAUCAUGUUCAACACAAAAAAUAAAUCUGGUAUUUCCAACCACCCAUGUAUUUUUCUGUUUAUUAUAUAAAGGACAGUCUUAAAUGAAAACAGAAAAGGGAUAAUUGAAAAGGCGAUAAAUUUUUACAUGUGAGAUUAUCAUGAAUAAUUUCACAUCUGAGAUUAUCAUUUUUGUCAGUGC